UACGGGGGGGGCAAGCGUUGUUCGGAAUUACUGGGCGUAAAGGGCGCGUAGGCGGCCUGCUAAGUCGGACGUGAAAUCCCCCGGCUCAACCGGGGAACUGCGUCCGAUACUGGUGGGCUCGAAUCCGGGAGAGGGAUGUGGAAUUCCAGGUGUAGCGGUGAAAUGCGUAGAUAUCUGGAGGAACACCGGUGGCGAAGGCGGCAUCCUGGACCGGUAUUGACGCUGAGACGCGAAAGCCAGGGGAGCAAACGGG
rnacentral:rRNA from 1 species